rnacentral:rRNA from 1 species
CCUACGGGUGGCAGCAGUGAGGAAUAUUGGUCAAUGGGCGAGAGCCUGAACCAGCCAAGUCGCGUGAAGGAUGACGGCCCUACGGGUUGUAAACUUCUUUUGUCAGGGAGCAAUUGAGUCCACGUGUGGGCUUAGCGAGAGUACCUGAAGAAAAAGCAUCGGCUAACUCCGUGCCAGCAGCCGCGGUAAUACGGGGGAUGCAAGCGUUAUCCGGAUUUAUUGGGUUUAAAGGGUGCGUAGGCUGUGAGGUAAGUCAGCGGUGAAAUGCCCCCGCUCAACGGGGUGAAGUGCCAUUGAUACUGCCUUGCUGGAAUGCGGAUGCCGUGGGAGGAAUGUGUGGUGUAGCGGUGAAAUGCAUAGAUAUCACACAGAACACCGAUUGCGAAGGCAUCUCACGAAUCCGCGAUUGACGCUGAUGCACGAAAGCGUGGGUAUCAAACAGGAUUAGAUACCCGGGUAGUC